rnacentral:rRNA from 1 species
CGGGGGGAGCAAGCGUUGUUCGGAUUUACUGGGCGUAAAGGGCGCGUAGGCGGCCACCGCAAGUCGACUGUGAAAUCUCCGGGCUUAACCCGGAAAGGUCAGCCGAUACUGCGGGGCUAGAGUGCAGAAGGGGCAACUGGAAUUCUCGGUGUAGCGGUGAAAUGCGUAGAUAUCGAGAGGAACACCUGCGGCGAAGGCGGGUUGCUGGGCUGACACAGACGCUGAUGCGCGAAAGCUAGGGGAGCGAACGGGAUUAGAUACCCCGGUAGUCCUAGCCUUAAACGAUGAAUGCUUGGUGUCUGGGGUUUUAUAGUCCCCGGGUGCCGUCGCUAACGCUUUAAGCAUUCCGCCUGGGGAGUACGGUCGCAAGACUG